GAUGAAGAACGCAGCGAAAUGCGAUAAGUAGUGUGAAUUGCAGAAUUCAGUGAAUCAUCGAAUCUUUGAACGCACAUUGCGCCCCUUGGUAUUCCAUGGGGCAUGCCUGUUCGAGCGUCAUUUGUACCUUCAAGCCCGGCUUGUGUGUUGGGUCGUCGUCCCCCCCGGGGGACGGGCCCGAAAGGCAGCGGCGGCACCGCGUCCGGUCCUCGAGCGUAUGGGGCUUUGUCACCCGCUCGAUUAGGGCCGGCCGGGCGCCAGCCGGCGUCUCCAACCUUCUAUUUUACCAGGUUGACCUCGGAUCAGGUAGGGAUACCCGCUGAACUUAAGCAUAUCAAUAAGCGGAGGA
rnacentral:misc_RNA from 1 species